rnacentral:rRNA from 1 species
GUGUGCAACCUGCCUUUAUCUGGGGGAUAGCCUUUCGAAAGGAAGAUUAAUACCCCAUAACAUAUGAUACKGCAUCGUAUUAUAUUGAAAACUCCGGUGGAUAGAGAUGGGCACGCGCAAGAUUAGAUAGUUGGUGAGGUAACGGCUCACCAAGUCAGUGAUCUUUAGGGGGCCUGAGAGGGUGAUCCCCCACACUGGUACUGAGACACGGACCAGACUCCUACGGGAGGCAGCAGUGAGGAAUAUUGGACAAUGGGUGAGAGCCUGAUCCAGCCAUCCCGCGUGAAGGACUAAGGCCCUAUGGGUUGUAAACUUCUUUUAUACUGGGAUAAACCUACUUACGUGUAAGUAGCUGAAGGUACAGUAUGAAUAAGCACCGGCUAACUCCGUGCCAGCAGCCGCGGUAAUACGGAGGGUGCAAGCGUUAUCCGGAUUUAUUGGGUUUAAAGGGUCCGUAGGCGGAUCCGUAAGUCAGUGGUGAAAUCUCAUAGCUUAACUAUGAAACUGCCAU